AAUCAUCAGAAAUAACCAUGAUUGUCAGUUCGAACUUUGAAUUUUCCUCCAGCACCAAUUACAAUACAUAUUUAUGACUGAAUGGAAGUGCAUUGGAAAAUCUGAAAAUUGUCAGGACAUGCCAAUCUGAAAAGCUAUUAUGUUGGCAAGUUGAAAAUAUUGUUACGUUUUUAUGCUUCUUUCUAGUUGUUUUCCCAUUUUAGUGCUACACAAUGCAAUGCUAAUUUAUUUAUUAAAAACAAGUGAAUCUGGGAAUGAAAAACAUUCUUUUGACCGUGCUAAUGGGAAGUGUACGCAAUUAAACUCGGUGAAAUGUUUACUCGUGGACACUGUUCAGCUGAAUCAAAACUGAAAAUUGGUAGGAAACAAUAAGUCCAUAAAAUUAUUCACAAUAUGUAAACAAAUAUUAAAGGAAAAUUCAUGAAAUGAU